rnacentral:rRNA from 1 species
UACGGGGGGGAGCAAGCGUUGUUCGGAUUUAUUGGGCGUAAAGAGCUCGUAGGCGGCUCGUUGCGUCGGCUGUGAAAACCCGCAGCUCAACUGUGGGCUUGCAGCUGAUACGGGCGGGCUGGAGUUCGGUAGGGGAGACUGGAAUUCCUGGUGUAGCGGUGAAAUGCGCAGAUAUCAGGAGGAACACCGGUGGCGAAGGCGGGUCUCUGGGCCGAUACUGACGCUGAGGAGCGAAAGCGUGGGGAGCGAACAGG